CCUACGGGUGGCAGCAGUGGGGAAUAUUGGGCAAUGGGCGCAAGCCUGACCCAGCAACGCCGCGUGAAGGAAGAAGGCUUUCUGGUUGUAAACUUCUUUUCUCAGGGACGAAGAACGUUACGGUACCUGGGUACUAAGCCACGGCUAACUACGUGCCAGCGGCCGCUGUAAUACGUAGGUGGCAAGCGUUAUACGGAUUUAUUGGGUGUAAGGGGCGUGUAGGCGGGAGUGCAAGUCAGAUGUGAAAACUCAGGGCUCAACCCUGAGCCUGCAUUUGAAACUGUGUUUCUUGAGUGCUGGAGAGGCAAUCGGAAUGCCGUGUGUAGCGGUGAAAUGCGUAGAUAUACGGAGGAGCACCAGUGGCAGGCGGAUUGCUGGACAGUAACUGACGCUGAGGCGCGAAAGCGUGGGGAGCAAACAGGAUUAGAUACCCGUGUAGUC
rnacentral:rRNA from 1 species